GCGGAAGGAGCUCACUGCCGCAGGCCUGGAGUUUCCCAGGCACGGAUGCGGCAGGUGGGGGCAAGAGCCUCAGGCCGAUGUGAAUCACCUGCUGAGGAAGUUCUCACCUCUGUGGUCUGUGUGCUUCUCUAAGAGGGAAACCCUGAAGAGUAUUGACAAGUACUGAAGCAUUUUUAACCAUGGCUUUGGGAUGGGUAACAUUCAGGAAAGCAGCCCUAGACUUCUCUCAAGAGGAAUGGGAAUAUCGGGUUCUGCUCUGAGGGAGUUGUACUGGGAUGUGGUGAUGGAGAACAGCAAGUUGGUCCCACGGGGUAAGCUGUCUACCUCAAAUAAUUUAAAUAUUCUCUCUGGAAUAUCAAG